GACGGAGGGUGCUAGCGUUGUUCGGAAUGACUGGGCGUAAAGGGCGCGUAGGCGGCCGCUUGCGUCGGAUGUGAAAGCCCGGGGCUCAACCCCGGAACGGCAUCCGAUACGGAGCGGCUCGAGACCGAGAGAGGUGAGUGGAAUACCCAGUGUAGAGGUGAAAUUCGUAGAUAUUGGGUGGAACACCGGCGGCGAAAGCGGCUCACUGGCUCGGUACUGACGCUGAGGUGCGAAAGCGUGGGGAGCAAACAGG
rnacentral:rRNA from 1 species